AUUGAACGCUGGCGGCAGGCUUAACACAUGCAAGUCGAGCGGGGACUUCGGUCCUAGCGGCGAACGGGUGAGGAAUGCUUGGGAAUCUGCCCAGUAGCGGGGGAUAACGUUUCGAAAGGAACGCUAAUACCGCAUACGCCCUACGGGGGAAAGGGGGGGAUCUUCGGACCUCUCACUAUUGGAUGAGCCCAAGUCGGAUUAGCUAGUUGGUGGGGUAAAGGCCUACCAAGGCGACGAUCCGUAGCUGGUCUGAGAGGAUGAUCAGCCACACUGGAACUGAGACACGGUCCAGACUCCUACGGGAGGCAGCAGUGGGGAAUAUUGGACAAUGGGCGAAAGCCUGAUCCAGCCAUGCCGCGUGUGUGAAGAAGGCCUUCGGGUUGUAAAGCACUUUAAGCGAGGAGGAAUGGCUCUUGGUUAAUACCUAGAGAUAGUGGACGUUACUCGCAGAAUAAGCACCGGCUAACUCUGUGCCAGCAGCCGCGGUAAUAC
rnacentral:rRNA from 1 species